GUUUCCCCAAAAAUAAACCCUACCCCGAAAAUAAGCCCUAGUCGGAUUUUCGGGGUGGGCUGCAAUAUAAGCCCUACCCCGAAAAUAAGACCUAGACAUUGCACCUUUGCGGCGAGACUUCCUUCUUCUACUGUAGGAGGAGCGUUGCGGGCCGUGGCAUCGCGCAACGUGAUGACGACAUUUCGCAGUGCCGUCAGUCUGCCUUCACGGAUCUUCAGCGGAAGGAUCCAUUUCCGGGCGGUGAGGCACCCAGUGGUCGGACUCGGCAAG